rnacentral:rRNA from 1 species
GGAAUUUUGCGCAAUGGGGGAAACCCUGACGCAGCAACGCCAUGUGUGGGAUGAAGCAUUUCGGUGUGUAAACCACUGUCGGCGGGGAAUAAACGGCAGCUUCGGGCUGCUUUGAAUGUACCCGCAAAGGAAGCUCCGGCUAACUUCGUGCCAGCAGCCGCGGUAAUACGAGGGGGGCAAAUGUUGUUCGGAAUCACUGGGCGUAAAGGGAGCGUAGGCGGGUUCUUAAGUUAGGUGUUUAAUCCCGGGGCCCAACCCCGGACCGGCACUUAAAACUGGGAAUCUUGAAUAGUGGAGAGGUCGGUGGAAUUGGGGGUGUAGCGGUGGAAUGCGUAGAGAUCCCCAAGAACACCAGUUGCGAAGGCGGCCGACUGGACACAUAUUGACGCUGAGGCUCGAAAGCAUGGGGAGCAAAC